rnacentral:rRNA from 1 species
UACGGGGGGAGCAAGCGUUGUUCGGAUUUACUGGGCGUAAAGGGCGCGUAGGCGGCCACCGCAAGUCGACUGUGAAAUCUCCGGGCUUAACCCGGAAAGGUCAGCCGAUACUGCGGGGCUAGAGUGCAGAAGGGGCAACUGGAAUUCUCGGUGUAGCGGUGAAAUGCGUAGAUAUCGAGAGGAACACCUGCGGCGAAGGCGGGUUGCUGGGCUGACACUGACGCUGAUGCGCGAAAGCCAGGGGAGCAAACGGG